rnacentral:rRNA from 1 species
CAGUAGCCACGGUAAUACGUAGGGUGCAAGCGUUGUCCGGAAUUAUUGGGCGUAAAGAGCUCGUAGGCGGUUUGUCGCGUCUGCUGUGAAAUCCCGAGGCUCAACCUCGGGCUUGCAGUGGGUACGGGCAGACUAGAGUGCGGUAGGGGAGAUUGGAAUUCCUGGUGUAGCGGUGGAAUGCGCAGAUAUCAGGAGGAACACCGAUGGCGAAGGCAGAUCUCUGGGCCGUAACUGACGCUGAGGAGCGAAAGCAUGGGGAGCGAACAGGAUUAGAUACCCGCGUAGUCCCUGUCUCUUAUAC